rnacentral:lncRNA from 1 species
AUGCAUUCAGGGUUUAGGGAAUGUUGCUUGAUGCAUCUACAUUGCGUUCACAAACUUUUAGGAUGAUGAUGAUAUCUAUACAAUUUUCAAGACUAUCAAGCUUCAGUCAUAAGCACAAUGGUAUAAAUGUAUCAAAUAUUUGAAACAGACGCAAAAACAAAGCUAUGUCUGCAUUCACAGUUGAUGAUAACACUUCACCGAUUACAAUCCUACAAGAUUAGUCUGAAGACAGAUCUAUACACUUCAAGCCUACUGCCAUCUUUCCUUCAAUCCAGAGCUGCCAACAAACCAAUCCCACUGCCUCCUCCCAACACAACUCUUCGCACAAAAACAAAUCUAUUGUAAUUGACAAAUAUUUCCCUGCGCUGCAUCAUCUGCAUGUCUGGGUACUCAAAAAUUGGCGUGCUGUUUGUGGUACUGUGCUUUUUUCAGCAAUGUUGCUACGCAUACCGGCGGAAAUUGAAGUGAAGCGCAGCCGGAUUAAGUUUGGAGAGGACAAGAACACUAGCUCGUGGGGGGGGGGGGGGGGGGGAGGGGGGUGUACGAGAAGGAUGUGGUUUUGCCUGAUGUGGAUGCAACUUCUUUUAAUAUUUGGGAUCUGGUCAAUUGGAUUAAGGAGCGUGCAAUGGGUAUGUAUGCAUGGCUUAAGGGUGUUCUGAAUCUGUACAAAUGGGCAAGAUGGGUACGCAAAAAUUGGCGUGCUGUUUGUGGUACUGUGCUUUUUUCAGCAAUGUUGCUACGCAUACUGGCGGAUAUACUGACGGAAAUUGAAGUGCAGCGCAGCUGGAUUAAGUUUGGACAUCCAGCAUGUCCUCUCCAAACUUAAUCCAGCUGCGCUUCACUUCAAUUUCCGCCAGUAUAUCCGCCAGUAUGCGUAGCAACAUUGCUGAAAAAAGCACAGUACCACAAACAGCACGCCAAUUUUUGAGUACCCAUCUUGCCCAUUUGUACAGAUUCAGAACACCCUUAAGCCAUGCAUACAUACCCAUUGCACGCUCCUUAAUCCAAUUGACCAGAUCCCAAAUAUUAAAAGAAGUUGCAUCCACAUCAGGCAAAACCACAUCCUUCUCGUACCCCCCCCCCCCCCCCCAGAGCCAGUGUUCUUGUCCUUCCUCUCCUUGACCUCCUCUUUGGUCUUCUCUGUUUUCUUAGAACCCCUAUAACUCGGUCUGGUCCUAACCCGAGGCAGCCUGAAAUACCGGGUCAAGGUGGGAGGCAACCUGAAAUACCGGGUCAGGGUGGGGAGGCAACCUGAUAUUCCGAGUCUGGGUGGGAGGCAACCUGAAAUUCUGGGUCAGGGUGGGAUGUCGAGAAAUGUUACACCAGAACUGAUAAACUGCCCUGCACGAAUAAUAAACAAUAUAUCAAAACUACUAAGAACCCCCACUGGUCAACAUGCAUGCAGAAUACAAAUCAACAGCUGAAAGGAGAGCUGGUAAGGUAGAGACAAAACAAUUCAACUACCUUAAGAAGCCAUCAUCAUCUGCAGGAAUGUCCUCAUUGGCAGUCAAAGCAAAUACUCUUUCAUCCUACAAGAAUAGACAGAGUAAAGAUCAGUUGAAAGUCUACAGAUACCCCUAAAACAAUAUUUUAACACAUCCUAAGGGACAUUUCCCAAUCAUUUGGCAACACAAAAUUGCAACAAAUGAUUUAACAUAAUAACAAAACUAACGAGGCAAGUUUAAUCAGACACAAGGAACUUCAAUCAUACCCAUCAUACAUAUCUUACCUCUAUUCAAUAUUUUGACACAUCCUAAGGAACGUUUUCCAAUCAUUUGGCAUCACAACAUUGCAGCAGAAGAUUUUUCAUAAAAACAAAACUAACGAGGCAAGUUUGACCACAGACAUAAGGAACUUCAAUCAUACAUAUCUUAUCAAGAAU